GAUCCUGGCUCAGAAUCAACGCUGGCGGCGCGCUUAACACAUGCAAGUCGAGCGAGAAAGGGGGCAACCCUGAGUACAGCGGCGUACGGGUGAGUAACACGUGGAUUAUCUACCUUUUAGUGGGGAAUAACUUUGGGAAACCGAAGCUAAUACCGCAUAAGCCUGUAAAGGGAAAGCAGCAAUGCGCUGGAAGAAGAGUCCGCGGCCGAUUAGCUAGUUGGUGAGGUAAUGGCUCACCAAGGCGACGAUCGGUAGCCGGCCUGAGAGGGCACACGGUCACACUGGCACUGAAACACGGGCCAGACUCCUACGGGAGGCAGCAGUGGGGAAUCUUGCACAAUGGGGGAAACCCUGAUGCAGCGACGCCGCGUGAGCGAUGAAGCCCCUCGGGGUGUAAAGCUCUUUCGGCAGGAACGAUAAUGACGGUACCUGAAGAAGAAGCUGCGGCUAACUACGUGCCAGCAGCCGCGGUAAUACGUAGGCAGCAAGCGUUGUUCGGAAUUACUGGGCGUAAAGAGUGUGUAGGCGGUGCUCUAAGUUUGGUGUGAAAUCUCCCGGCUCAACUGGGAGGGUGCGCCGAAAACUGGAAUGCUUGAACGUGGGAGAGGAAAGCGGAAUUCCUGGUGUAGCGGUGAAAUGCGUAGAUAUCAGGAGGAACACCUGCGGUGUAGACGGCUUUCUGGACCAUUG
rnacentral:rRNA from 1 species